rnacentral:ncRNA from 1 species
GCAAAGAUAAAAACGCAACGCAGGGGCCUCUCUCCUGCCAGAGCCGGUAGGUAGCCCGGCCGCACCGUCAGGUGUAAGUAACCCUCCCUCCUUAGGGUCGUCCGUUCUUUGUUUAUUA